UACGGGGGGGGCAAGCGUUGUUCGGAAUUACUGGGCGUAAAGGGCUCGUAGGCGGCCAACUAAGUCAGACGUGAAAUCCCCAGGCUUAACUUGGGAACUGCGUCUGAUACUGGAUGGCUUGAGUUUGGGAGAGGGAUGCGGAAUUCCAGGUGUAGCGGUGAAAUGCGUAGAUAUCUGGAGGAACACCGGUGGCGAAGGCGACAUCCUGGACCAACACUGACGCUGAGGAGCGAAAGCCAGGGGAGCAAACGGG
rnacentral:rRNA from 2 species